rnacentral:rRNA from 1 species
UACGUAGGGUGCGAGCGUUGUCCGGAAUUACUGGGCGUAAAGAGCUCGUAGGCGGUUUGUCGCGUUGUUCGUGAAAACCGGGGGCUUAACCCUCGGCGUGCGGGCGAUACGGGCAGACUUGAGUACUGCAGGGGAGACUGGAAUUCCUGGUGUAGCGGUGGAAUGCGCAGAUAUCAGGAGGAACACCGGUGGCGAAGGCGGGUCUCUGGGCAGUAACUGACGCUGAGGAGCGAAAGCGUGGGGAGCAAACAGG